rnacentral:rRNA from 1 species
CAUGUGGUUUAAUUCGAUGCAACGCGAAGAACCUUACCUACUCUUGACAUCCAGAGAAGCCAGUGGAGACACAGGUGUGCCUUCGGGAGCUCUGAGACAGGUGCUGCAUGGCUGUCGUCAGCUCGUGUUGUGAAAUGUUGGGUUAAGUCCCGCAACGAGCGCAACCCUUAUCCUUGUUUGCCAGCGAGUAAUGUCGGGAACUCCAGGGAGACUGCCGGUGAUAAACCGGAGGAAGGUGGGGACGACGUCAAGUCAUCAUGGCCCUUACGAGUAGGGCUACACACGUGCUACAAUGGCGCAUACAGAGGGCAGCAAGCUAGCGAUAGUGAGCGAAUCCCAAAAAGUGCGUCGUAGUCCGGAUUGGAGUCUGCAACUCGACUCCAUGAAGUCGGAAUCGCUAGUAAUCGUGAAUCAGAAUGUCACGGUGAAUACGUUCCCGGGCCUUGUACACACCGCCCGUCACACCAUGGGAGUGGGCUGCAAAAGAAGUGGGUAGUUUAACCUUUCGGGGAGGACGCUCACCACUUUGUGGUUCAUGACUGGGGUGAAGUCGUAACAAGGUAGCCCUAGGGGAACCUGGGGCUGGAUCACCUCCUUA